rnacentral:rRNA from 1 species
GACGAACGCUGGCGGCGUGCUUAACACAUGCAAGUCGAACGGAAAGGCCCUGCUUUUGUGGGGUUCUCGAGUGGCGCACGGGUGAGUAUCACGUGAGUAACCUGCCCUUGACUUUGGGAUAACUUCAGGAAACUGGGGCUAAUACCGGAUAGGAGCUCCUGCUGCAUGGUGGGGGUUGGAAAGUUUCGGCGGUUCGGGAUGGACUAGCGGCUUAUCAGCUUGUUGGUGGGGUAGUUGCUUACCAAGGCUUUGACGGGUAGCCGGCAUGAGAGCGUGACCGGCCACAUUGGGACUGAGAUACGGAGCAGACGGCUACGGGAGGCAGCAGUGGGGAAUCUGGCACAAUGGGCGGAAGCCUGAUGCAGCAACGCCGCGUGCGGGAUGACGGCCUACGGGUUGUAAACCGCUGUGGCCUGUGACGAAGCGUGAGUGACGGUAAUGGGUAAAGAAGCACCGGCUAACUACGUG